CCUACGGGAGGCAGCAGUGGGGAAUAUUGGACAAUGGGCGCAAGCCUGAUCCAGCAAUGCCGCGUGUGUGAAGAAGGCCUGCGGGUUGUAAAGCACUUUCAGUAGGGGGGAAAAGCUCAAGAUUAAUACUCUUGAGUCUUGACGUUA
rnacentral:rRNA from 1 species